rnacentral:rRNA from 1 species
UACGGGAGGCAGCAGUGGGGAAUAUUGCACAAUGGGCGCAAGCCUGAUGCAGCCAUGCCGCGUGUAUGAAGAAGGCCUUCGGGUUGUAAAGUACUUUCAGUCGUGAGGAAGGUGUUAAGGUUAAUAACCUUAGCAAUUGACGUUAGCGACAGAAGAAGCACCGGCUAACUCCGUGCCAGCAGCCGCGGUAAUACGGAGGGUGCGAGCGUUAAUCGGAAUUACUGGGCGUAAAGGGCACGCAGGCGGUUAAUUAAGUUGGAUGUGAAAUCCCCGGGCUUAACCUGGGAAUGGCAUUCAAGACUGGUUAGCUAGAGUCCUGUAGAGGGGGUAGAAUUCCAUGUGUAGCGGUGAAAUGCGUAGAGAUGUGGAGGAAUACCGGUGGCGAAGGCGGCCCCUGGACAAAGACUGACGCUCAUGUGCGAAAGCGUGGGGAGCAAACAGGGAUUAGAUA